GACGAACGCUGGCGGCGUGCUUAACACAUGCAAGUCGAGCGAGAAACUUCGGUUUCUAGCGGCGGACGGGUGAGUAACACGUGGGCAACCUGCCUCACAAUGGGGGAUAGCCUUCCGAAAGGAAGACUAAUACCGCAUAACACAAAGGAAACGCAUGUUUCUUUUGCCAAAGAAUUUCGUUGUGAGAUGGGCCCGCGGCGCAUUAGCUUGUUGGUGAGGUAACGGCUCACCAAGGCGACGAUGCGUAGCCGACCUGAGAGGGUGAUCGGCCACAUUGGAACUGAUGCACGGUCCAGACUCCUACGGGAGGCAGCAGUGGGGAAUAUUGCACAAUGGAGGAAACUCUGAUGCAGCAACGCCGCGUGAGUGAUGAAGGUCUUCGGAUUGUAAAGCUCUGUCUUCUGGGACGAUAAUGACGGUACCAGAGGAGGAAGCCACGGCUAACUACGUGCCAGCAGCCGCCGUAA
rnacentral:rRNA from 1 species